UAGGGAAUCUUCCGCAAUGGACGAAAGUCUGACGGAGCAACGCCGCGUGAGCGAUGAAGGCCUUCGGGUCGUAAAGCUCUGUUGUUAGGGAAGAACAAGUACCGGAGUAACUGCCGGUACCUUGACGGUACCUAACCAGAAAGCCACGGCUAACUACGUGCCAGCAGCCGCGGUAAUACGUAGGUGGCAAGCGUUGUCCGGAAUUAUUGGGCGUAAAGCGCGCGCAGGCGGUCCUUUAAGUCUGAUGUGAAAGCCCACGGCUCAACCGUGGAGGGUCAUUGGAAACUGGGGGACUUGAGUACAGAAGAGGAAAGCGGAAUUCCACGUGUAGCGGUGAAAUGCGUAGAGAUGUGGAGGAACACCAGUGGCGAAGGCGGCUUUCUGGUCUGUAACUGACGCUGAGGCGCGAAAGCGUGGGGAGCAAACAGGAUUAGAUACCCUGGUAGUCCACGCCGUAAACGAUGAGUGCUAAGUGUUAGAGGGUUUCCGCCCUUUAGUGCUGCAGCUAACG
rnacentral:rRNA from 1 species